rnacentral:sRNA from 1 species
UCACUCGAAAUUAAAACUCAAAACUUUGC